AAUGAAAUUCCUACAAUGUUAAUGCACCAGAUCCCAUUAUAAUUUGGUAGCUAAGCACGCUUUGGCUAGAGUAGUACUGGAAUGAGUGACCUCUCAAGAAGUCCUAGUGUUUUACAUGC
rfam:Picea glauca, whole genome shotgun sequence.